rnacentral:rRNA from 1 species
ACAUGCAAGUCGAACGAGAAAGUGGAGCAAUCCAUGAGUAAAGUGGCGCACGGGUGAGUAACACGUGACUAACCUACCCUUGAGUGGGGGAUAACCUAGGGAAACCUGGGCUAAUACCGCAUAACACCUAUGGGUCAAAGGAGCAAUUCGCUUAAGGAGGGGGUCGCGGCAGAUUAGUUAGUUGGCAGGGUAAUGGCCUACCAAGACGAUGAUCUGUAUCCGGCCUGAGAGGGCGCACGGACACACUGGAACUGAAACACGGUCCAGACUCCUACGGGAGGCAGCAGUGGGGAAUUUUGCGCAAUGGGGGAAACCCUGACGCAGCAACGCCGCGUGGAGGAUGAAGACCCUUGGGUCGUAAACUCCUUUCGAUCGGGACGAUAAUGACGGUACCGGAAGAAGAAGCCCCGGCUAACUUCGUGCCAGCAGCCGCGGUAAUACGAGGGGGGCAAGCGUUGUUCGGAAUUAUUGGGCGUAAAGGGUGUGUAGGCGGUUAGACAAGUCUCGUGUGAAAUCUUCGGGCUCAACUCGAAGUCUGCACGAGAAACUGUUUGGCUG